ensembl:lncRNA
CCCUCGAGUGUAAUUGCCUAAUUGCUUUUUUUUCCCUCCUCCAUCCAGGGGCUCUGCUUAACGUCAGCUGGGCAGGAGCUCAUAAACAGGGCCACGGCGGCUGGAAGCAUCUCCCUCAAUGUCAGAGGCUCAGAGAAGAGAGCCUGGAGAUCUGAGGCUGGGCCGGGGGGUCUGCUGGCGGCCGAGCCCACACCCAUUGGUUGAACCCGGGAUGAAUGGCCUCGCUGACAGCCAAUGGGGCCAGUGGAGGACGGCCCGUCUGCCUCCUGUAAUAUCACAUCCCCAACAGAACAAGAACAGCAGGAAGGAAGGAAGGAAGGAAGAGGAUAAAUCGCAGCUCGCUGCUUGUUUGACUCUCAGGGCUUAUUCAACCCUCUGGGUGGGCUUGGACUGGGCUCGACCGUGCGGCUGCUCUGUUCCAUCAGCGGGCCUUCUGGCUCCACUACAGAGAGCGGAUCACUUCAGGACAUCAUCAUCUCACAGCAUCUCCUGCUCCUGCUCCUGCUCCUGCUCCUGCUCCUGCUCCUGCUCCUGCUCCUGCUCCUGCUCCAGGCGUGGCCCAGGGGUUUAUCUGACACACUGCCUCCUCUGGUGUGGGUGUAUUCCUUUUUGUUGUAAACAUUGUGAGAUUAUUCAACUUCA